CCUACGGGAGGCAGCAGUGGGGAAUAUUGCACAAUGGGGGAAACCCUGAUGCAGCGACGCCGCGUGAGUGAAGAAGUAUUUCGGUAUGUAAAGCUCUAUCAGCAGGAACGAGACAAGACGGUACCUGACUAAGAAGCCCCGGCUAACUACGUGCCAGCAGCCGCGGUAAUACGUCGGGGGCAAGCGUUAUCCGGAAUCACUGGGUGGAAAGGGAGCGUAGACGGCUGUGCAAGCCUGAAGUGAAAGGCGGGGGCCCAACCCCUGGACUGCUUUGGGAACUGUACGGCUGGAGUGCAGGAGAGGUAAGUGGAAUUCCUAGUGUAGCGGUGAAAGGCGUAGAUAUUAGGAGGAACACCAGUGGCGAAGGCGGCUUACUGGACUGUAACUGACGUUGAGGCUCGAAAGCGUGGGGAGCAAACAGGAUUAGAUACCCGAGUAGUC
rnacentral:rRNA from 1 species